AUUGAACGCUGGCGGCAUGCUUUACACAUGCAAGUCGAACGGCAGCGCGGGCUUCGGCCUGGCGGCGAGUGGCGAACGGGUGAGUAAUGCAUCGGAACGUGCCCAGUAGUGGGGGAUAGCCCGGCGAAAGCCGGAUUAAUACCGCAUACGACCUGAGGGUGAAAGCGGGGGACCGAAAGGCCUCGCGCUAUUGGAUCGGCCGAUGUCGGAUUAGCUUGUUGGUUGGGGAAAGUCUUACCAAGGCGACGAUCCGUAGCUGGUCUGAGAGGACGACCAGCCACACUGGGACUGAGACACGGCCCAGACUCCUACGGGAGGCAGCAGUGGGGAAUUUUGGACAAUGGGGGCAACCCUGAUCCAGCCACGCCGCGUGCGGGAAGAAGGCCUUCGGGUUGUAAACCGCUUUUGUUCGGGAAGAAAUCCUCUGGGCUAAUACCCCGGGGGGAUGACGGUACCGGAAGAAUAAGCACCGGCUAACUACGUG
rnacentral:rRNA from 1 species